rnacentral:rRNA from 1 species
CCUACGGGAGGCAGCAGUGAGGACUAUUGGUCAAUGGGCUUACGCCUGAACCAGCCAAGUCGCGUGAAGGAAGACUGCCCUAUGGGUUGUAAACCUCUUUUGUCAGGGAGCACCGCCGGCUACGUGUAGCCGGCCUGAUAGUCCCUGAAGAAAAAGCAUCGGCUAACUCCGUGCCAGCAGCCGCGGUAAUACGGAGGAUGCGAGCGUUAUCCGGAUUUAUUGGGUUUAAAGGGUGCGUAGGCGGAAUGCCAAGUCAGCGGUAAAAUCGCGGGGCUCAACCUCGCUCAGCCGUUGAAACUGGCGGUCUUGAGUGGGCGAGAAGUAGGCGGAAUGCGUGGUGUAGCGGUGAAAUGCAUAGAGAUCACGCAGAACUCCGAUUGCGAAGGCAGCAUACCGGCGCCCAACUGACGCUGAAGCACGAAAGCGUGGGUAUCGAACAGGAUUAGAUACCCCGGUAGUC